rnacentral:rRNA from 1 species
UACGUAGGGUGCAAGCGUUAUCCGGAAUUAUUGGGCGUAAAGAGCUCGUAGGCGGUUUGUCGCGUCUGCUGUGAAAACCCGAGGCUCAACCUCGGGCCUGCAGUGGGUACGGGCAGACUAGAGUGCGGUAGGGGAGAUUGGAAUUCCUGGUGUAGCGGUGGAAUGCGCAGAUAUCAGGAGGAACACCAAUGGCGAAGGCAGGUCUCUGGGCCACUACUGACGCUGAGAGACGAAAGCUAGGGGAGCAAAUGGG